CUCUCGGAGGGCGGGGCUUUUCUGUCCGUAAUUAAAUUAGCUGGGGACGGGAGUCGUGGGCGCCUGUGCGAGAUGAGGCGCGAAAGGGGGUCGCUGUUUAUGGGCGAACUUGCUUUUAUAUCGCCCUCUGCUGAAAAGAGAAGCCACGGAGCUAGCAUCCCCAUUGACGGUUGUAUUUCCUGCCUAUUCCUCGCCGUAAGCAAGACAAACAGAACAUACAAAUAAACUACACAAAAGAAAGGUAUGGACUCUGAGCUUUUAAUUUAGAAAUACUGAGCCCUGUCUGAAUACAACAGAAAUUGGAACAAACUAAAGCUGGGAUUUCCCAAUGAUUUUAUUGAGGGACUAACCAAGUGAUGAUGCCUGUUGGAACUGCCGAGACUACCCAAUAACCUCCUCCAUGAAGAACUGGAAAACUAAAGCUGCCAUC